rfam:Camelus ferus unplaced genomic scaffold scaffold2080, whole genome shotgun sequence.
GAGGGUGUAGCUCAGGGGUAGAGCACAUGCUUAGCAGGCACGAGGUCCUGGGUUCAAGCACCAGCACUUCCA